rnacentral:hammerhead_ribozyme from 1 species
AUCCAACUGGUGAGUCUCAAAUAGGACGAAACGCUAUUCAUGGAU